rnacentral:rRNA from 1 species
CUGCCCAGUGAUCAAUGACAUGAUUUAACGGCCGCGGUACCCUAACCGUGCAAAGGUAGCAUAAUCAUUUGCCCUAUAAUUGAGGGCUUGUAUGAAUGGUUUGACAAGAACAAUACUGUCUCUUAAAAAUUUACUAAAAUUUGGUUUUUAGGUGAAGAAACCUAAAUAAAAUUGAAAGACAAGAAGACCCUAUCGAGCUUAAAAAAUACGUUAACUAUAUAUAGAAAAAAAAACUAACGAAAAAAUUUGGUUGGGGCGACUAAGGAACAAAUAAAGCUUCCUUUAAUAUAAAAAACUUAUAUGUAUUGAUCCAAAAUAUUUGAUUAAAAAAAUUAGUUACCGUAGGGAUAACAGCAUAAUCUUUUUAGAGAGAACAUAUCGAAAAAAAGGUUUGUGACCUCGAUGUUGGACUAGGAUAUCCUAAUAGAUUGCAGAAGUCUUUAAAGG